rnacentral:lncRNA from 1 species
UCUGGACCGUCACUCCGUUCCCCGACUUGUCCUAGCUACAUUCUCAUUUCCUGAAGAGAACAGUGAAAGAAAGGGUGAGCUCAACUAGCCCAGUAAGAAAUAUUAUGACUAAGAUAAUGCAGAAUAAAUUAUCAUUAGUCUUCAACAAUGUUAAACUGAUAAAAUACAAUAGACAUCAAGUUUAACUGCAGCGGAAUAAGCAAUCCAUUAGAAGAGUCAAGUAGAGCAUAAAAUCUACUAUCUUUUAUGAUUUAAAAAUGUUUUCAUCAAUUUUUAUCGCUGAGACUCAGCUUAAUAAAUAAACCACGUCAUCGAAUCAUCCCUGCACUAUGGCCAAGGAUAUUCAUUAAAUCAUCAAUGGUCAUGACUAUACCGAAUAAUCCAUAGUCAUAAUCAUACCAAAAACUGUUCAUCAAUGCACUACAUGCCACUAAGGACUUUUACCAAACCAUUCGUCACAUUACGGUCAUGAUUAUACCAAAUAAUUCCUAGUCAUAAUCAUACCAAGUCCAUCUAUGCACGUAAGCCAAAGAUGACUUUCAACAUAAUAUAAACAUGAGGAUGAUGACAAUUACAUAAUAAUUCAAUAAAACAAGUUCAAGAAUUAAUUUUAAAGAUCUAUCAGUUAAUUUAUCCUGAACUCAAUAACGUCCAAAUUGUCAACAUGAUACUUCUUUAUGGAGUAAAAUUCAAGAAUAAUAUUCAUGCAACAAAAAUAAUUUGGACAGAAAAGAAUCAAUUUUUCGUCGUGAAUAGUACCCCGUGAAUAGUACUUCGGGAAUAGUACUUCGUGAAUAGUACCCCGACAUAAAAAGUACUCCAAAUACCCGAGUGAAUAAUAUUCGGGUGAAUAGUAAUUUGGGUGAAUAGUUACCCGUGAAUAGUAACUCGUGAAUAGUAUUCCGACAUGAAAAGUGCCCCGAAUACCCGAGUGAAUAAUACUAGAGUGAAUAGUAACCGGGUGAAUAGUAACCCGUGAAUAGUAACUCGUAACAGAAAAUACCAAAUAAAAUGAUAUUUAAUGAUGAGUACAAAAGAAAUGAUAUCUCAUAUGAGUAUAAUAGAAUAUACGAAAGUGCAAAUGGAUUUUCAUCCGCCAUGCGGUAAUCCACGUAAACAGAUCAUUUCCACAAUUUAAUAAAGAAUGAAUACGAAAGGUCAUUCACCAUGCAUGUGGUAAUCCACAUAGACAGGUUAUUCCAACAGAAUAAUAAAGAAUGGAAUAACAGAAGGAUUCACCAUGCGUGUGAUAGACUACACAGACAGGUUAUUCCCAACAAAAUAAUAAAUAAUGGAACCAGGUCAUUCGUAAACGCACAGACAGGAUAUUCCGACAGAAUAAUAAAUAAUGGAACCAGGUCCGGCGUAAACGCACAGACAUGAUAUUCCGAUAAAAUAAUAAAUAAUGGAACCAGGUCCGGCGUAAACGCACAGACAGGUUAUUCAGACAGAAUAAUAAAGAAAGGAAUAAUAGAAGAAUUUCACCAUGUAUACGGUACUUUGCAUAUACAGGUUAUUCCAACAUAAUAAUAAAGAAUGGAAUAACAGAAGAAUUUCACCAUGUAUGCGGUACUUUGCAUAUCCAGGUUAUUCUAACAGAAUAAUAAGGAAUGGAAUAACAAUAGCUCUCUUCAUGAAUACGAAAGAAAUAAUACCCCUUACCUUAGAAUAAAGCUGGAUACUGGAAUAGAAAUGUAGCAGACUUCUCUUCUUCUUUCUCUCUAUAAUUGCUCUAAAGCUUUUGUGAAUUGGUGAGAAAUGAAGGAAGAAUGGGCUUCUAUUUAUAGAAAAAUAUAGUUUCGAUAAUUUCAUGUUUUGGGGCUCAAAAUAUUACAGUCUAAUACGUUCCUCUUUUCCUUCAUUUUUAAUUUAGUCCUGCAAGCAUUAUCAAACUUGCACCACCUCCCCUAAUAGUAAAUAAUGUGAUUCAAUAGUUCAAUCAUGUGAACCAAUAGUUAUAAUCAUGUGAAAAUAUAAAUUACAGUAUAGUACCUCCAUCUAUACCUCCAUUUUUAACUUAGUCAUGCAAGUAUUAUCAAUAUUGCACCAACUCCCCUAAUAGUAAGUGAAUCUGACUCAAUAGUACACACAUGUGAACAAAUAGUUAUAUGAGCAUGUGAAUUAGUAGCAAUUAAUUGCUCAUUUAUCUGAUAAAUUACCCAUUUUAUCAAUAUAACCCCCAGAUAUCAAUUAUCAUCGAAAUAGAUGUCGAUUUCAACUAACACCAAUAAUCCCAACACAAUGGAACUAUCAAAUUCAUCUUUAAUCAACACGAACUUAUUCAUCAUUAAUAUUAUAACUCACAAUAUUUAACAACCAGGUCAUUCCCAGGAAAGAGAGGGCUUUCCGAUAAGAAUUUCUCAUUAUUGGCGCGCAAUUAGGUGACCAAACCUCUCCUUGACAGAACUUCUAGACAUUAUAAAUAUUGCAAUUUAAUAAUAUGAAUAACUUUGUCGUCUCAAUUAUUAAUUUAAUAAUAUAUCAUAUAAUGCAGAUGAUACUGCGACAAUAAUCGAAUCAAUAAUAUGAGAGAUAUGAUGCAGCAAUUACUAUAGCAAUAAUUGAGUAUAACUGAGUGACUUCUCACGUAAGCAUCAAUAAUCAAUACCGUGUGUUACUAUGCAAUCACGCGUAUUACUGUACUUUUAUUAUCGGGUAGUUCAACAGUUUUAACGGUAACACUUCCGCUGUUAUUUUAUAAAAUGAUAAUUUUGUCGUUUUCUUACUGCGACAAUGAUUGUGUCGUCGUACGGAUAUUCCCCGACAAAAAGAAUAUUCCCCGACCAAACGAAUAUUAUAUAACAACUUGCAUACUUUGCAAAAUUUAUAAAUAAUACCCACAACUAUAUCAUUAUAUCAAAUCCACACCAUAAUAUUCAAAAAAAUACUUCGAGAUACUUAAAUCUUUAUUCAUAAAAUCUGGGGUCUCACAAUCUCCCCUCCUUAUGAAAUUUUUCCCUCAAAAUUUACGUACGUACCUGGUAUGCCGAAGAGAUGAGGAUACCUUGACUUCAUUUCAGAUUCUAACUCUUGAGGUAUAACCUUUGAGUGUUGAAUACGAUUCUUCUUAUCCAAGAUUUUAACACGUAUCUCCUCAUAUGUUAAAUCUUCUGCUAUCUCGUCUAGUUCUAAUUUAAUAAUGUGGUUCGGGUCGUCCACCUAUUUACGUAACAUCGAUACGUUAAAAACGUUAUGAACACGCGACAUACUUGGCGGUAAAACGACUCUAUAGGCCACAAUUCCGAUUCGAUCAAGGAUUUCAAAUGGGCCAAUAAAAUUGAGGGUUGAGAUUUCCUCUCUUCAUCGAUUCUUGCUUCUAGAAUAACGCCCUCUUGAACCUUCUUCUUCACAUUCAUCAGCUUUGAGUAUGUAGCUUGCAUGGCUUUAACUUUAUCGAUUAAAGUCAAUUCUACUCGUAUAUUCGUUAUCUUCACGUGGGUCCCUAGAGUCUUUAACUCUAUCUUCAUCAUUUGUAAGUUAUACGAAAUGGGUCUUUGUGUUAACAAUAUCGCACUCGUAAACGCAUACGAUCUUUUAUUCAACGCGUUAGCUACCACGUUCGCUCUUCCACAAUGAUAUUGAAUGGUACGAUCGUAAUCUUCAACAGCUCGAGCCAACGUCUUUGGCGCAUUAUACGUUCGUUUUGGUUGAAGAAAUAUUUAAGGGUUGAAGAAAUGGGUUUUGUACUGGGGUCAAUACAAAAUUCAAUUUCACGCUCUAGAGGUAGGCUAAGAAGUCUUCAAGAAUACGUCAGGAAAUUUAUUAACGAUAGAAAUAUCAUUCAAAACUGUGACUCUCAUCCAAGACUUGGAUAACACAUGUAAUGAAGGUUUCUCCUAACGGAGUUUCAACCAAUAAGUCAAAGUUUAACUUCUCCAAAGUCAAAUUUAAAUGUUGAACGCAAGAAAAAGAGAUAAAAUAAUGGUUAGAACCGGUAUCUAAUAAAGUAUAGACUUCGCAAGAAUUUAUAAUUAACUAACCCAUGCUAACUUUUUCGGGUCACUAGCUUUUUGAGAAGUCACAAAAAAUGCUCUUCCUGAAACUACCGACUUUGUUUUGUCCGUAUCCACCUUUGGUACCACCGUCCCAGCUGGACUUGACUUUGGUGCACGACAAAAUCGGGCUAGGUGACCUUUUCCAGAAUUGUAACAUGGUUUGCACUGCAUCACGCAGUUUGGACUGAUAUAUCCCUCCCCUCCGCAUUUAAAACAUACGACCGGCGAUCGUUCUCCUUCCUUUGAAAUGGGUGCUGGUGCUGCUGUCUUUCCAUCAUUAUUGAACCUUCUCUUCUUAAAAUUUCUACUUCUAUUAUCUUGGCCAUGAUUACCACCGAAGUGGUUACCAUUCUUGGGAUGAUAAUUUCCCCCACGAUGGUUAUCAUUGUUUUGAUGACCGUUGCCACCGGUAUGAUUAUUAUCGUGUUGUUGGUCGUUGCCUUUUGGUUGUCCUGACUCAUUAUCGCGCUCCAAUAACUGAGCCCUAUUAACAAUAUCUGAAUACAAACAAAGUUUGUAGAAAUGAGGUAUUGAUGUAUCUCGAGUUUCAAACCUCUUAGAAACAUUCGCGUCAUUCUCUCCUCAUUAUCAACUAAGUGGGACGCAAACCAGGACGGCUCGGCAAACUUGGCUUCGUACUGCGACACGGUCAUGUUGUUUUGCUCCAGCUUGAUGAAAUCUACCUCUUUCAUGUGACGAAUACUUUCUGGAAAGUACUUGUCAUUGAACAGUUCUUGGAACUUCUCCCAAGUCAUCUUAAGUGCGGCAGGUUGAGUACGCUUUACAGAUUUCCACCAGUAAUCUGCCUCUGCUCGCAACAUGAAGGUGGCAAAGGGAACCUUUUGCACCUCGGAGCAUCCCAAGACAUCAAAUAUCUUGCAGGUCUGUUUUAUCCACGUCUCCGCCUUAAGUGGUUUUGGCUCUCCAAAAAACUCUGGUGGUCCCAGCUCCUUGAACUGUUUAGCAGUGACCGUCCGAGAGUUGCUAGUUUUUCCACCUGUAUUUUGGACAGGAGCCGCUCUGGCCUGAUGUUGCAUGAAUUGCAUAAAACCUCUAAACAUUUCAUCGUUCAUCAUUUGGUCAGUGUUGUUGUUUGCAUGAGGAUUGUCGCCUUCCUGAUGCACAUUAUCCUGAUUAUUAAUAUGUGGAGACUCAACGGUCUCCUGUGCUCCAUUUUUAUUCUCAACAUUCUCGGAUGUCAUUUUCAAAUACUGCCACAAAACAAGAGUUAAUUGACAUGUCACAUAUAAUCCCUAUACUCUGACCAACCAAUUAAAUAUCAAAUAAACUUAGGUAGGUCAUACUAGCGAAGGAAUUCCCNNNNNNNNNNNNNNNNNNNNNNNNNNNNNNNNNNNNNNNNNNNNNNNNNNNNNNNNNNNNNNNNNNNNNNNNNNNNNNNNNNNNNNNNNNNNNNNNNNNNUUCUCAUUUCCUGAAGAGAACAGUGAAGGAAAGGGUGAGCUCAACUAGCCCAGUAAGAAAUAUUAUGACUAAGAUAAUGCAGAAUAAAUUAUCAUUAGUCUUCAACAAUGUUAAACUGAUAAAAUACAAUAGACAUCAAGUUUAACUGCAGCGGAAUAAGCAAUCCAUUAGAAGAGUCAAGUAGAGCAUAAAAUCUACUAUCUUCUAUGAUUUAAAAAUGUUUUCAUCAAUUUUUAUCGCUGAGGCUCAGCUUAAUAAAUAAACCACAUCAUCGAAUCAUUCCUGCACUACGGCCAAGGAUAUUCAUUAAAUCAUCAAUGGUCAUGACUAUACCAAAUAAUCCCUGGUCAUAAUCAUACCAAAAAUUGUCCAUCAAUGCAUUACAGGCCACUAAGGACUUUUACCACAUCAUUCGUCACAUUACGGUCAUGAUUAUACCAAAUAAUCCCUGGUCAUAAUCAUACUAAGUCCAUCAAUGAACGUAAUCCAAAGAUGACUUUCAACAUAAUAUAAACAUGAGGAUGAUGACAAUUACAUAAUAAUUCAAUAAAACAAGUUCAAGAAUUAAUUUUAAAGAUUUAUCAGUUAAUUUAUCCUGAACUCAAUAAUGUCCAAAUUGUCAACAUGAUACUUCUCUGUGGAGUAAAAUUCAAGAAUAAUAUUCAUGCACCAAAAAUAAUUUGGACAGAAAAGAAUUAAUUUUUUGUCGUGAAUAGUACCCCAUGAAUAGUACUUCGGGAAAAAUACCUCGUGAAUAGUACCCCGACAUGAAAAGUACUCCAAAUAGCCGAGUGAAUAAUAUUCAGGUGAAUAGUAAUUUGGGUAAAUAGUAACCCGUGAAUAGUAACUCGUGAAUAGUAUUCCGGCAUGAAAAGUGCCCCGAAUACCCGAGUGAAUAAUACUAGAGUGAAUAGUAAUCGGGUGAAUAGUAACUCGUAACAGAAAAUACCAAAUAAAAUGAUAUUUCAUGACGAGUACAAAAGAAAUGAUAUCUCAUAUGAGUAUAAUAGAAUAUACGAAAGUGCAAAUGGAUGUUCAUCCACCAUGCGGUAAUUCACGUAAACAGAUCAUUUCCACAAUUUAAUAAAGAAUGAAUACGAAAGGUCAUUCACCAUGCAUGUGAUAAUCCACAAAGACAGGUUAUUCCAACAGAAUAAUAAAGAAUGGAAUAACAAAAGGAUUCAUCAUGCGUGCGAUAGACUGCACAGACAGGUUAUUCCCAAUAGAAUAAUAAAUAAUGGAACCAGGUCAUGCGUAAACGCACAGACAGGAUAUUCCGAUAGAAUAAUAAAUAAUGGAACCAGGUCCAGCGUAAACGCACAGACAUGAUAUUCCGACAGAAUAAUAAAUAAUGAAACCAGGUCCGGCGUAAACGCACAGACAGGAUAUUCCAACAGAAUAAUAAAGAACGUAAUAAUAGAAGAAUUUCACCAUGUAUGCGGUACUUUGCAUAUACAGGUUAUUCCAACAUAAUAAUAAAGAAUGGAAUAACAAAAGAAUUUUACCAUGUAUGCAGUACUUCGCAUAUCCAGGUUAUUCCAACAGAAUAAUAAGGAAUGGAAUAACAAUAGCUCUCUUCAUGAAUACAUCGGGUGAAUAACCCCUUACCUUAGAAUAAAGCUGGAUACUGGAAUAGAAAUGUAGCAGACUUCUCUUCUUCUUUCUCUCUAUAAUUUCUCUCUAUAAUUUCUCUCUAUAAUAAUUGCUCUAAAGCUUUUGUGAAUUGGUGAGAAAUGAAGGAAGAAUGAGCUUCUAUUUAUAGAAAAAUAUAGUUUCGAUAAUUGCACGUUUUGGGGCUCGAAAUAUUACAGUCUAAUACCUUCCUCUUUUCCUUCAUUUUCUGCAAGUAUUAUCAAACUUGCACCACCUCCCCUAAUAGUAAAUAAUUUGAUUCAAUAGUUCAAUCAUGUGAACCAAUAGUUAUAAUCAUGUGAAAAUAUAAAUUAUAGUAAAGUACCUCCAUUUAUAACUUAGUCAUGCAAGUAUUAUCAAUAUUGCACCAACUCCCCUAAUAGUAAGUGAAUAUGACUCAAUAGUACACAAAUGUGAACAAAUAGUUAUAUGAACAUGUGAAUUAGUAGCAAUUAAUUGCUCAUUUAUCCGGUAAAUUACCCGUUUUAUCAAUAUAACCCCCAGACAUCAAUUAUCAUCAGAAUAUAUGUCGAUUUCAACUAACACCAAUAAUCCCAACACAAUGGAACUAUCAAAUUCAUCUUUAAUCAACACGAACUUAUUCAUCAUUAAUAUUAUAACUCACAAUAUUUAACAACCAGGUCGUUCUCAGGAAAGAGGGGGCUUUCCGAUAAGGAUUUCUCCUUAUUGGCGCGCAAUUAGGUGACCAAACCUCUCCUUGACAGAACUUCUAGACAUUAUAAAUAUUGCAAUCUAAUAAUAUGAAUAACUUUUUCGUCUCAAUUAUUAAUUUAAUAAUAUAUCAUAUAAUGCAGAUGAUACUGUGUCAAUAAUCGAAUCAAUAAUAUGAGAGAUAUGAUGCAGCAAUUACUAUAGCAAUAAUUGAGUAUAACUGAGUGACUUCUCAUGUAAGCAUAAAUAAUCAAUACCGUGUGGUACUAUGUAACCACGCGUAUUACUGUACUUUUACUACCGGGUAGUUCAACAGUUUUAACAGUAACACUUCCGCCGUUAUUUUAUAAAAUGAUAAUUCUGUCAUUCUUACUAGGACAAUGAGUGUGCCGUCGUACGGAUAUUCCCCGACAAAAAGAAUAUUCCCCGACCAAACGAAUAUUAUAUAACAACUUGCAUACUUUGCAAAAUUUAAAAAUAUUAUCCACAACUAUAUCAUUAUAUCAAAUCCACACCAUAAUAUUCAAAAAAAUACUUCGAGAUACUUAAAUCUUUAUUCAUAAAAUCUGGGGUCUCACACACGCUACAAUUCUUAUAUAUAAAUCUAACAUGAAUCACUUCUCUAUUCGCAAUCUCUAUACUUAAGGGAAAUUCUAAUUAUUUCUGAGGCAAAUCUAAGUUCUGAGCAAAUUCAUCGGAUAUAAAUGAAUAAGUAGCACCCGAAUCAAAUAGUACAUAAGCAUUAAUACCAUUAAUCGGAAUGAUACCUGACACCACAUCCUUAGACUGUACAGCAUCUUGCACGAUCAUAUUGAAAGUCCUCGCAGUAGGUCGGCUUGAUUGUGUUGGUCUAGUGAUAGUCAAUGCACCACCACCGUUGUUGUUUCCUUUUCCGCCACUUGCACUUCCCGCUGGCUUCUUAAGGAAAUCACAAGCCAUGUGAUCCUUCGAACCGCAGGUAAAACAUGCUCCUUUCUUCGGACUAAAACAAUUCGGUGCAAUGUGUCCCUCCUGACCACAGUUGAAACACACUCUCUUUCCCUUCAAACAUACUCCAGUAUGGUUCUUCCCACAAGUUGCGUAAGCCUCAAACUUUUUCCUCUGUUGAUUUCCUUGUUGUCCUCCCACAGUCGAAUUUUCGCUCCAUUUCCUCUUCUGACUAUUACUUCCAACAUUACUACCACCAGCCUUAUUCUCAUUCUCAUUCUUCCUCUUCUUCUGUUCUUGGUUGUACUUGGUCAAGGCAUCGCUUCCACCUUCCGCGAUAAUUGCCUUUUCCAGCACAGCCGCAAAUGUGUUCAGCUGGAACAUUAAAACCUUGUUGUAAAGCCAGGGCUUCAAUCCUUGUUCAAAUCUUCUUGCUUUGUGUUCAUCAGUAUUGACUUGAUAAGUGGCAAACCUUGCCAACUCGUUAAACUUCGCAGCAUAUUCCAGCACCAUCAUCGUUCCUUGCUUCAACUCCAGAAAUUGCACUUCAAGCUGAUUUCGAGAACUCGUUAGAAAGUACAUUUCAAAGAACAUCUCCUUAAAUCUAUCCCACACUAUCACUCCUUGUCCUCCACGAACCUUAUUUGCUUGCCACCAGUAGCUAGCUUCAGCCUUCAGCAUGAACGUUGCGAACGCAGUCUUCUGAUCUUCGUUAACUCUAGCAACAUCGAACACCUUCUCCAUUUCCAUGAUCCAGGUUUGGGCUUCCACUGGAUUCAUAGACCCUUGAAAUUCUAGCAGUCCAACCGCUUUGAAUUCCUUGAAAGUCGUGACUUGAGCUUGCGGUUGAUUCACAAGUGCACCCGUCAACAGAGCUACCAACUGCUGAACUGGAUUAUCGCUGGUCUCGUUGUUAUUAUUAGUAGACCCCUCAGGAGGUGCUUGCUGACAUGGUUGUCUUAUUCUAGGAGGCAUUUUCUAUUAAGACAUACGCUUAUUAGCUCAUUACUCAACUUCUUGGGUAUUUAAAGUCUAUCUUAAACAUUCCAAGAUUAAAGCUUUAACACAUAGCAUUUCAAAUAAACUCUAAUAUUUUAUUCAUUAAUAAAGUUUUAAAACAUGAUAAAGAUAGCAUAAGCGAUAUAACAUCCACUUUCCUGAACAAAACACGUUUCAAGAUUACAUACUCAUACUAUCCCUUUAUUUAUCUCAAAAUAAGGGAUUCACAAUUUAUUUAUUCACAUAAUUUAACCGCAUAUUAUUAUCUAUCUUAUUCUAUCUGGGCAUAUUAAGACGUCGUAAGGCUUCCCGACGUUCCUCCUCCAUGAUACGAUAUGUCGUUCUACGAUCCAUCACUAACCACGGCGAAUUCUCAAACUGAGGUUGGUAAUAGUAGACUCGAUCCUGGGCCCUAUCAAUUGUCGAAUUAAAAAGCAUAAUCCAUCUCCUUCAUCUUGGUUUUCUUCACUUGAACCUUAGCCUCAGCACGGUCUGCACGUUGAGUCGCCUUCAUCCACGCAUCCUCUGUUCUUACACGCUUACCUGACUCCUCCUUGAAAUCAUCUUUCAAUUUCUCCAUGUCUGUAGCAUCCCCGAAUCCGGGUCCCAAAUCACCACGGAUCCGAUAUACUAUUUCAAUCACUAUUGCGGAAGAUAUAAACAUAAAUUGUUUAUACAUUAAACUUUUACACAUCAUUCCCCAAGGUCUACAACCUUAACUUAAUACAUACCUUCAAUAUCUUAGAAGAUUUACAAUACUAUUUUCAUCAGAAAAUUUAAUAAAUUUAACUACAACAUAAAGAAACUUUGCACUUUGUCUUUGCCUCUGUCCUUAUUCAAGCCUUCAUCUUAAUCUGAAAAUUUUAUCAUGAUAUAGCAAGGGUGAGCAACAAAUUUGCCCAGCAAGUUUUACAUACAAAGGAGAUAUAUCAUGAUUGAAAAGAAUGGAUAAGCUUUCAAGUUUUCAACAAUAUAAUAAUUGUGAAAUAACAUGAAUCAAUUUUUCAACGAUUGAAUGACUGAACCAAUAAUAAUGGAUGUCAACAAUUAACAUGAACAAGUUUAACUGAAACAUAUGGUAAUGAAGGUGAUCAGCCUUUCAUACCUGAUGAACAUAUACAACAUGCACAAUGUGCGAAUCAAUAAUUUAUUGACGUGGUAAAAUCAACAAUGAUUAACCACUAACAUGCUUUGAAUUAACAACUCAAGUUGAGUUAGGAAACUUGCACAAUAAUUAGAAGUUCAAGUUUAGGAACUUGCCUGUACCGUUGAUUACCGCUAAGCAAUCAAUUUAAUCUCUUAUAAAAGACCUAUCAUUAAUAAGAUCGAUCCUCCAAUUAGCAUAAUACAUUUUAUCCCACAACACUAUUACUCAAAUAAUAAAUUAGCUAACAUUUAGCCACAUAAUUAAACAUUAAAUAAUUCUUUAACUCAUUAGUAAUAUUAUUAUCCCUUAAUAAUAUUACUAUCACUUAUCCAUUAUCUUAAACUUUUGCCUAAUAUUCUUUUUAUAGAAUAUUUAUCAUUUACAAAUAUUAUUAAUCAUUUAAUAAUAUUUAAAUCCUUUACUAAUAUUAUUAAUCAUUUAAUAAUAUUGUAAUCACCUUCUAAUAUUAUUAAUCAUGUAAUAAUAUUUUACUUGUUUCAUAAAUAAUAAAGGUCUCACACAUUUUAAGAUGCAAAUACUUUACAUCUUGAAACUUAAACCAUUUAAAUUUCAUUUCAGAAAUAUCUUUUACCUCUACUCGCAAAUUCGGAGUUUAAACAGCUAAUGUAUAGCUUUUAUAGUAAAAAUCAAUUUACUAUAUUAUUUCUUCACUUUAAAUAACUUUUACUUCAGUUUGUCCGUUCAUGAGUCAACACUGACUAUUGCCUCAUAUAUAAACAUUUUAUCUCACUAGCACAUUCGCUUUAUUUUUCAUUUUACGAUUAUUCGCAUUUUUGCUUCGUUACGUAAAUCUCAGCUCAAAAACUUCAUUUUGAGCACCGAAAACCUCAAAAUAUCAUUUUUAUGAUUAAUACAAUAUUUCAAAGGUUUUACAUUCUUUGUUCCACCACAAAAUAAUUUUUAUAGGCAACUAUAUAUAUAUAUAUAUAUAUUUCUCGCUUAAAUAUGUAAUUUAUAUUUAUUACAUAUUUUUAUUGCUUUAUUUAUGCCUGAAAGAAAGUUUCUCGGCAUAAAAUAUUACUUAUAGUCAAAUUUCGCACCAUAAGACUUUAUUAGAUUAUUAUGACUUAUUAUUUCUCUAUCAUAUGCCCAAACACAUAAUAUACUUCAUUGAAUAUCAAUUUCAACAAUUACAUUGAAAAAUAUCAUAAAUCUCUUAUUAAAUCUCCCGUCAAAUAUUAUUAAUUAUGCAAUAAUAUUUUACGCUAAGGUUAUCAACCUUUUAAUUACAUUCCAAUCAAAUACUACUAAUAAUAUCUCACUACAAUACUAUUAGUCAUAUAAAAAAAAAAUUUUAAGUCAUUAAUCACAUAAAUAAACAAUUAUUUCAAUUGUUUUCCUUACCGUAAUUAAUAAACUUGUUUAAACAUUUUAAAAUGUCAUAAACAUCACAACACCUUAAACCCGACCCAAAACUUCAUUACAAACUUGCAUAAGCCAUGCUCACGGGUCUCACUUCAUACAUCGCAUUUUUCCUAUUUUUGGACACUUUUGAUUUUCGAAAUAUUUUACCCAGCCUCACAAGCCAUAACUCUCGCGUUUUAAAACAUUUUUGAGCGAUUCUUGAGCCCACGCGAAGAUAACUUCCAGGGCUACAACUUUUGUCUCACGACAUUUUUCCAAAAUCAUAACACAUCAGUCCAGAAAUUUACACAAAGGUUUCGGAAUUUGAUUAACAGUUUUGAUACACAUCUCCCGAACGCCAUAACUACCUCAUCCGGAAUCGGAAUUAGUCCGUUCCGGAGUCUAUGGAAAGCUAAAACAGAGUACUACAACAUAUCAAAAGCUCAGAAGUUUUAAAGCGUAAAAAACUGGACGAAAUUGCCCCCGUUUUUGACUGCCACGAAUCUGUCCAUUAAAACCGGGACUGUUUUGGCUAAAACAGUAACUACGCCAUGAAAACUCAACAUUUUUGAGUCCUACCACUUGGGUUAACUACUACACACAUAUAUCUAACACCCCUCUUUGACGGAUCACAAAAAAAAUUAUAGAUUUAAAACGGUGGAUUUUCAAAGUACAUAGAAAUUUUGGUUUCAAAACUAGAAAAAUUUAUAUUUUCUCUUCUUCUUUUGGUCUUCAACCAAAUCAACACCCAUCAUGGGUGGAUCCAUACAUAAAUCCAUGGAAAACACAUAGAUCUUAGGGUUUUAUACACCCAAAUCAAAAACUCCUUUCAUAAAAAUUCCAUAGAAAAAAAAAAAUUAGAGAGAGAGAGAAGUUAUACCCUUUGCUUUUCUUCUCCUUCUUCCAUGGUGAUUUCUCCUCCUCUUUGACACUCAAGGGGCUGCCGCCCCUCUCUUCUUCUCCCAUGGUUGUCGAUCUUCUGCUCUUUCUCUCUCUAUUCCUCUUUCCCGUUCUCUUUCUUUUCUUUCUUAUCCUUUUUAUUCUAAUUUCUUCUUAUCCCCCUUCUUUCUUUAAUAAAGAUCCGGCCAAGUGGCCUUAUCACUAACAUGUUGGCUUAAUUUCUUU